rnacentral:rRNA from 1 species
AUACGGAAGGUCCGGGCGUUAUCCGGAUUUAUUGGGUUUAAAGGGAGCGCAGGCGGAGAUGCAAGCGUGACGUCAAAUUUCGGGGCUCAACCCCGUCUCGCGUCGCGAACUGCGUCCCUUGGUUGCGGGAAGGGGAGGCGGAACUCGGGGUGUAGCGGGGAAAUGCAUAGAUAUCUCGAAGAACCCCGAUCGCGAAGGCAGCCUUCCGGCCCGUCAACGACGCUCAUGCUCGAAGGUGCGGGUAUCAAACAGGAUUAGAUACCCUGGUAGUCCGCACAGUAAACGAUGGACACCCGCGGUUUGGCCUGUAUGGCUGAGCCGCCAAGCGAAAGCGUUAAGUGUCCCACCUGGGGAGUACGCCGGCAACGGUGAAACUCAAAUGAAUUGGCGGGG